ACAAAUCAGCAUAGGACCGCAAGGUCCUAUAUUCACCCCAAGCCUGUGAAGGGUAUCCACCUGGAUCGGCUUUGGUUGCAGUCCUUUGGGCUGUAGGCUAGCUGUCGCAAGACGGUCGAGCCACAUAGACGCUUGUAUGUUUGACAGAGUUUAGUUGCUAUAAAAGAUA
rnacentral:misc_RNA from 1 species